AUCCAGCUGACGAGUUGGAAAAUGAGGCAAAACAUGUGUCCUGGAU
rfam:Schistosoma mansoni strain Puerto Rico chromosome 1, complete genome